rnacentral:lncRNA from 1 species
GAGAGCUCAGGCCUGCAGCAGAGGGAGUGCAGAUGUGGGGGAAGCUGACCCUGGAGUUAACAGGCUCAGACCUUAAAGGGGGUAGUCUCACAGCAGGUUCACACCCAGCACUUCAGAGUUUCAGCAAGUAAGGCAACUGCAAGACCCUCAUUCUGCCGGGAAGCUUCUGAUUAGGGCCCUAAACCACCAUCCUUUUCACAUCUGCAAGGACACUAGAGGCAACACCCAGGGUCACUCUGAGAGGGCCUGAACCUGCUUUAUUAACAGGAUCGAGGGUCAGGACCGAAGUAAGUCGUGAUGCAGGAAAUGAGUGCGUUUCACAGCUUGCUGAGCCCCUACUCGACCCAGGAAGCCCAGCUGGCCCCUCCUCUCAACAGGAGUGAGAAUCAGACUCAUGGAGGCAACCACUCAAGGCCACUCUGAGAAGGGUUGAACGUGCUUUAAAUUAAAAGGACUGAGGAUCAUGUGUGUUGGUGUGUCCUGGACUCUGCUCUAAGGUAAAUGUGUGUGUGUGUUUGUGUGUGGGGGUUGUGCCUGUAAUCCUGUGUGUGUGACCUCCUUAUUAGAAGAUUUUUGUUCAUUAAAGUAGGAGUGUGAA